rnacentral:rRNA from 1 species
GGGUGGUAAUGCCGGAUGCUCCAGUUGAUCGCAUGGUCUUCUGGGAAAGCUUUCGCGGUAUGGGAUGGGGUCGCGUCCUAUCAGCUUGACGGCGGGGUAACGGCCCACCGUGGCUUCGACGGGUAGCCGGCCUGAGAGGGCGACCGGCCACAUUGGGACUGAGAUACGGCCCAGACUCCUACGGGAGGCAGCAGUGGGGAAUAUUGCACAAUGGGCGCAAGCCUGAUGCAGCGACGCCGCGUGAGGGAUGGAGGCCUUCGGGUUGUAAACCUCUUUUAUCGGGGAGCAAGCGAGAGUGAGUUUACCCGUUGAAUAAGCACCGGCUAACUACGUGCCAGCAGCCGCGGUAAUACGUAGGGUGCAAGCGUUAUCCGGAAUUAUUGGGCGUAAAGGGCUCGUAGGCGGUUCGUCGCGUCCGGUGUGAAAGUCCAUCGCUUAACGGUGGAUCCGCGCCGGGUACGGGCGGGCUUGAGUGCGGUAGGGGAGACUGGAAUUCCCGGUGUAACGGUGGAAUGUG